CUCGCUCUGCCACCCAGGCUGGAGUGCAGUGAUAUGAUCCUGGUUCAUUGCAACCUCUACCUUCCAGAUUCAAGCAAUUCUCCUGCCUCAGUCUCCCAAGUAGCUGGAAUUACAGGAGCCUCAGAAUACAGCUGCUUCUAGUCAGCCACCUUGGCCCUGCCCCCCAGAUAUCUCCUUUUUAUGGAGGUUGAAGAUGGAGUUUUGCCACAUUGCCCAGGCUGUUCUAGAACUCCUGCGCUCAAGGAUCCACCUGCCUCAGCCUCCCAAAAUGCUGAGAUUACAGCUGAGAACUCCUGUGUGAGGAUCCACAGUCAACAGUAAUGCAGCUGCUAGAAGCAUUGCACACACUCCAUCUUGGAAAUAUUAAAAUCCAUUAAAAAUAAAGAAGGUCAUCAAGUAUCUCAUGUAGCAGUAGUUCUAAGGAACACAUUUCUGAAAAAGGCUGCCGUAAAGGCUUAUGGGAACACUAACUUUGGACUUUCACUCGGCAUGUCUUUUGCAGAGCGGAAGUUUGGGUUGUUAAAAUUUUAGUAAAGCCUAGUUUAUCAAUUAUUUUUAUCAUAGAACAUAUCUUUGGUCUUUCAUCAAAAAAGUUAUUACAAUACCCAAAGUCAUCUAGAUUUUCUGUUAUGUUAUCUUCUAGGAGUUUUAUAAUUUUGUAUUAUAUAUAGUUCUGUGAUCUAUUUUGAGUUAAUUUUUUGAAGAGUGUAUUACAGAAUGAAUUAUAGUCCCCCUAAAAAAUUCAUGAGAUGAAACUCUAACCAUCAACGUGACUCUAUUUGGAGAAAGAGCCUUGAAGGAGGUAAUUACGUUUAAAUUAGGUCAUGAGGGUGCAUCUCGAAUCAAACUGCACUAGUGUCUUUAUAAGAAGAGGAAGAGAUACAAAGAGUGUACGCACAGAUAAAAAAGCCAUGUGAAAUCCACAGCAAAAAGGCAGAUGUCUAAAAGCCAAGAAGAAAGGCCUCUAGAGAAACCAAACCUACUGACACCUUAAUCUUGGACUUCCAGGCCCCAGAUCUGUAAGAAUACAAAUUUCUGUAGUUUAAACUAACCAAUCAGUUAUAUUCAGUUAUAGAGGCCCUCAAUUGACUACUACCAGUUAUAACCAUUCUGUUUAGAUUUUUUUUUAUGUAAAUGUCCAAUUGUUCUAGCACAAUUUUUGGAAAAUGCUAUCAUUUCUCAAUUGCAUUAUUUUAGCUCCUUUGCUAAAGAUCAGGUGGCUAUAUUUCUGUGGGUCUAUUGCUAGUAUUUAUUUUGUUUCUUUGAUUUGCUUGUCUAUUCUUUCAUAAAUACCAUCUUGUCUUGAUUACUGUAGCUUUAUAGUAAAUCUUGAAACUGGAGAGUGUCAGUUCUACUUUAAUAUUGUGUUGGCUCUUCUAGGUCCUUUGCCUUUCCAUAUAAGCUAUAAAAUCAGUUUGUCAAUAUUCAUAAAAUAAUUUGCUGAGAUUUUAAUUGAGACUUCAAUGAAUAGUUCAAAUUAGAAAGAACUGACAUCUUGAAAAUAUUGAGUCUUCCUAUUUACAAACAUGAAAUAUCCCUCUAUUUAUUUAGUUUACUUUUGAUUUCUUUCAUCAGCGUUUCAAUGUUCUCUUCAUAUAGAUAUUACACAUAUUUUGUUGGAUUUAUACCUAAGUAUUUUUAUUUUGGGGGAUGCUAACGUAAACAGUAUUGUGUUUUUAAUUUCAAAUUCUACUUGUUCAUUGCUGGUUUAUAGAAAUGUGAUUGGCUUUUGCAUGUACAUCUUGUAUCCUUCAACCUUGCUACAAUUGCUUAUUAGUUGCAAGAGUGUUGUUGUUGAUUAUUUAAGCCCCUCCCACAAAAAUUCAUGAAAUGAAACCCUAACCUUCAAUGUGAUUGUAUAUGCAGAUUUUAUGCAUAAAAAUGUUAUCUGUAAAUAAAUAGUUUUAUUUAUUUCA